CCAAAAAUUAAUAUAAAACUCUCUUUUUUUUUCCUCCAAACUUCCCAAAAUGUGCCCCAAUAAAUUCCCAUUUUUUAGUCCCAAAAAUCCCCCCAAAAAUGCCCGUUUUUUCCCCACCCAGCCGUGGGUUCCCGUUGUUCCUUCAGGCAGCCACAGCCAGGCCGUGCUGGAGGCCCCCAAAAUCCAAAAGAAUUCUCCUUUUCGCCCCAAAAAACCUCAUUUUUUCCCAAAAAAUUCCCGGUUUUCCCUCAAAAAUUUCCUUCUUUCACCCAAAAUUCCCUGUUUCCCCACCCAGCUGUGGGUUCCGGUUCUUCCCUCAGGCAGCCACAGCCGGGACAGCGCCGCACUUGAGGCGCCACCCCAAAAUCCAAAAAAAAAUCGCAUCUUUCCCCCAAAAAAUUUCAAUUUCUCAAAAAAUGCAUAUUUUUUUCUCCCAAAAUUCCCAUUUUCCCCCAAAAUUCCUGGGUUUUUCUACCAAAAUCCCACGUUUCCGCACCUAACCGUGGCUUCCUGUCGUUGCGUCGCCUCGGGCAGUCGGGGUCGCGCCGCGCUGGAGGCGCCCCCAAAAUCCGAAAAAAAUCGCGUUUUUUCCCCCAAAAAUCCCAUUUCUCUUAAAAAAAUUCAAAUUUUUUCUCCCAAAAUUCCCAUUUUCCCCAAAAAUUCCCAUUUUUCGCCCAAAAUUCCCUCUGUUUCCCCACCCAGCGGUGGGUUCCGGUUGUUCCCUCAGGCAGCCGCAGCCGGGGUCGCGCCAUGCUGGAGGCUCCCCCAAAAUCCGAAAAAAAAUCGCAUUUUUUACCCAAAAAAUUCCUAUAUUCUCCCAAAAUUCCCAUAUUUUUCCUAGAAAUAUUCCCAAAACCCUGUUUUUCUCCCAAAAUUCCUCAAAAUUCCCAUUGUUUCCACACCCAAACGUGGCUUCCUGUUGUUGCCGUUGUUCUUCCCUCAGGCAGCCACAGCCGGGACAGCGCCGCGCUGCUGGUUACUCCAAAAUCAAAAGAAAUUCGCAUGUUUUCUCCAAAAAAUUCCCAUUUCUCUUAAAAAAAUUGUAUUUUUUCUCCCAAAAUUCCCAUUUUCCCCAAAAAUUCCUGGGUUUUUUCUACCAAAAUCCCCAAAAUCCCACGUUUCCACACCUAACCGUGGCUUCCCGUUGUUGCGUCGCCUCGGGCAGUCGGGGUCGGGCCACGCUGGAGGCACCCCCAAAAUCCAAAAAAAAUCGAAUUUUUUCCCCCAAAAAUCCCAUUUCUCUUUAAAAAAAUCUAUUUUUUUCUCCCAAAAUUCCCAUUUUCCCCAAAAAUUCCCUUCUUUCACCCAAAAUUCCCACUGUUUCCCCACCCAGCUGUGGGUUCCGGUUGUUCCCUCAGGCAGCCGCAGCCGGGGUCGCGCCACGCUGGAGGUGCCACCCCAAAAUAAAAAAAAAAUCGCAUCUUUCCCCCA
rnacentral:lncRNA from 1 species